CUAAAAGAGAAAAACUCCUGAAUCAGUAUUCAUAGUACAAUGGAUUUCUGAUUUUGCCCUCGCUUAUUUGUCUAUUAUUACAACCUUGCCCCUAUUGCUUUGCUGUCAAAUGCUUAACAGUUUCGCGACGCGUGGAAAUUCCGGAGACUUCUUUGUUAUUUUUCCCUCACCAUUUGGCUGUUUCCUCCCCCACCGCAUAAUUCUUCUUCUGCUGCCAAUCCAUAAACCACAACACGAAUCCGACCGCCUCUUCUUUCCCCUUCACUUUCACGGUUCCACCCCAACAUCAUCGAUCUGUGUUCGUGUAGGUCAUUUCAAAGGGAUUUCAAGCUGGGUUGCAAAGAUUUGAUUCAAGUUUGUGGAUUUGGGUAAGAAAUUAAGAACCCCUAAUCUUUUCUUAAGGUUUUAAAUGCCACAUGCAUCACAAUAAUCCAUUCAAAAUCACAAUUUUCCUCCGUGCUUCCUCCGUUAUUUCUUCACCAUCAACCUUACGACAACUUCCUUGCCGAUUCGAGCUGCUCGCCCAUGACAUGAACGCCGCCUCCACACGUUUGACUCGCUGUACGUCCUUGGCUUGCCGCUCUCCUUAUCUCCCAGUGAUUCAUUCUCCUCAUUGGAUUCUAUUUGGAUGCUGUAAAUCAGUUUUGGUGGAGGAGUUGUUCCGCAGCCUCAAGAAGAACAGAGGAAUGUUUUUGAAAUAAGCUAAGCAUACCAGCAAAUCAAAAGGUUUUUUGAGACGGAGGGGUGCUAUGGCUAUUCCAAUAGUUUCGGUACUGCUGGCAUGGGUAUUAAUCAUUGUGUUUGCCUGCUAGCGGCAUAAGAAAAAGAGUAAAACAAAAGACUAUGUGGAGAUAGAUGAACUUGAGGAAGCGAGGAGACACCCCGAGUUGCAAUAUUUCGGUCUGAGCACCAUAAUAGCAGCCACAAAUAACUUCUCACCCAUUAACAAACUCGGCCAAGGGGGUUUUGGCAUUGUUUAUUAGGGCCGCUUGCCAAAUGGUCAGAUUAUUGCUGUAAAAUAUGUAGAUUGCACUUGAACAAGAAGAUUGAGAAACAGAAGGUUGGAGGACUAGAUGAUCAAGCACUGACUUAUUUUUAAAGAAAAGGACAUUGACUAUAAUAUUCACUUAGUCAGGUCUCUGUAUUAUUCUUUCUUCAACAGGGGUUGAGAACAAUAUUUAAUAUGUAGGUUGAAUUGAUUGAAUAUUUGGUUUUGUUGGUUGAAAAGUUUAAUAUCGUUUAUUUGUAUGCUCCAAUCUUUGGUUGACGCUGUUAUGUGGAAAAGACCCCAUAUAAAAAGAUUAGAGAUGUAA